rnacentral:rRNA from 1 species
AGCAGUAGCCACGGUAAUGCGUAGGUGGCAAGCGUUGUCCGGAAUUAUUGGGCGUAAAGGGCUCGCAGGCGGUUUCUUAAGUCUGAUGUGAAAGCCCCCGGCUCAACCGGGGAGGGUCAUUGGAAACUAGGAAACUUGAGUGCAGAAGAGGAGAGUGGAAUUCCACGUGUAGCGGUGAAAUGCGUAGAGAUGUGGAGGAACACCAGUGGCGAAGGCGACUCUCUGGUCUGUAACUGACGCUGAGGAGCGAAAGCGUGGGGAGCGAACAGGAUUAGAUACCCCCGUAGUCCCUGUCUCUUAUAC